UACGUAGGGGGCAAGCGUUGUCCGGAUUUAUUGGGCGUAAAGAGCUCGUAGGCGGUUCGAUAAGUCGGACGUGAAAUCUCCACGCUCAACGUGGAGGGGCCGUUCGAUACUGUCGUGACUCGAGUCCGGUAGGGGGAGUGUGGAAUUCCCGGUGUAGCGGUGAAAUGCGCAGAGAUCGGGAGGAACACCCGUAGCGAAGGCGGCACUCUGGGCCGGUACUGACGCUGAGGAGCGAAAGCGUGGGGAGCAAACAGGG
rnacentral:rRNA from 1 species